GUAAGGAAUAUUGGUCAAUGGGCGGGAGCCUGAACCAGCCAUGCCGCGUGCAGGACGAAUGCCCUAUGGGUAGUAAACUGCUUUUGCAGGGGAACAAACCUUCCUACGAGUAGGGAGCUGAGUGUACCUUGAGAAUAAGGAUCGGCUAACUCCGUGCCAGCAGCCGCGGUAAUACGGAGGAUCCGAGCGUUAUCCGGAUUUAUUGGGGUUAAAGGGUGCGUAGGCGGCUAUUUCAGUCAGAGGUGAAAUACAGCGGCUCAACCGUUGCAGUGCCUUUGAUACUGAAUAGCUUGAAUGAGAUCGAAGGCGGCGGAAUGGGACAAGUAGCGGUGAAAUGCAUAGAUAUGUCCCAGAACCCCGAUAGCGAAGGCAGCUGCCUAGGUCUCGAUUGACGCUGAUGCACGAAAGCGUGGGUAUCGAACAGGAUUAGAAACCCUAGUAGUCC
rnacentral:rRNA from 1 species